AGUACACCACCACUAAAAGGUUGACGAGGGUCACUAAAUCAAUCUGAACAAGAAAAACAUUAAUUAGCAAAUAAAAAUCAAUUUCCAAAAGCAAACAUGGGUGUCACACUGUGUGGUUGGUGGGAACAAACUAUAGGAAGCUUUCGUAAACAAAUUCUUUCCAACCUACUAAUAUUGCAUAAAUCUGUUGGAACGAAAAAUAAAUGAGGAAAGAACAAUGAAAACCACUAUGUAUAAACAACUUUAAAAAUAUGAAAACCACUCUAUAUAAACAUGAAAAUUACUUUGUAUAAACUCAUGAAAAUCACUCUGUAGAAAAAAAAAACAGUAGGAACAUACAAUAGAGAUUUAAUUUCUAAUUAUCGAAUUUUGUUUUUAUUGAAAGUUGAAAGCCUCCGAGUUUUUUCACAUCACCUUUACAUCUCGACUGCCUCUUCCUUCUCAGCCAACAAAUUUUCUCGACUUGGAUAUGAUCCGCAAACGCUUCCUACGUAGCGACAGAUCUUGAAAAGAAAGAAGCAAUUGAUUUGUGGUAGUGCGGCGGACGGUGGUUGUUAUUGUUGUUGGAUUGGGUGGGUGAGGGGCGGUGGGGAUGCUAGAGAGAGAUGACGGCGAAAUGAAUUGGCAGGAGUCCAGUGGUGGUUGUUGUUAGAUUGGGUGGGGACGGGAGAAAUAAUGGCUACAAG
rnacentral:lncRNA from 1 species